UACGAAGGGGGCUAGCGUUGUUCGGAUUUACUGGGCGUAAAGCGCGUGUAGGCGGGUCGUUAAGUUGGGGGUGAAAUCCCGAGGCUCAACCUCGGAACUGCCUUCAAAACUGGCGACCUGGAGCAAAGAAGAGGCGAGUGGAAUUGCGAGUGUAGAGGUGAAAUUCGUAGAUAUUCGGAAGAACACCAGUGGCGAAGGCGGCUCACUGGAUCGGUAUU
rnacentral:rRNA from 1 species